CCUACGGGAGGCAGCAGUGAGGAAUAUUGGUCAAUGGGCGCGAGCCUGAACCAGCCAAGCAGCGUGAAGGAUGACUGCCCUACGGGUUGUAAACUUCUUUUGUAAGGGGAUAAAGGUAGGCACGUGUGCCUUUUUGUAUGUACUUUAUGAAUAAGGAUCGGCUAACUCCGUGCCAGCAGCCGCGGUAAUACGGAGGAUUCGAGCGUUAUCCGGAUUUAUUGGGUUUAAAGGGAGCGUAGAUGGGUGGUUAAGUCAGUUGUGAAAGUUUGUGGCUCAACCGUAAAAUUGCAAUUGAUACUGGCAGGCUUGAGUACAGUUGAGGUAGGCGGAAUGCGUGGUGUAGCGGUGAAAUGCUUAGAUAUCACGAAGAACACCGAUUGCGAAGGCAGCUUACUAAACUGCCACUGACGUUGAUGCUCGAAAGUGUGGGGAGCAAACAGGAUUAGAUACCCCAGUAGUC
rnacentral:rRNA from 1 species